AAAAAAGAAUUCAAUUGGCUUCACUUUUUUGCGUCGGCGUGUAAUAGCCGUCGCGAAUGAUAGAUAUUUUGCUUCGGCAAAACAACCCCGUCGCAAAAACAACAAUCGGAUACGACGGCAAAACAUCCCCGUCGCGAUAAUACCAAUUGUUUGCUACUGCAUAACUACGCCGUCGCAUAUUCUGAUAUGAAUUGCUACCACCAAUGUGCCGUCGCGUGUACUUAGUUCUAAACUCUAUGUUAGAGGGCAAAAGAGAAUUAAACUUUGAAAAAUUUCUCUUUGGGUCAGCCUCUCUUCCGCUCUCAACCCGCUUCUCUUGUGCAUCAGAUCAAUUAGAAACUAGUGUGGCGUUUGGGUAUUCAGAAUACCAAAGUCCCAAAUACAUGCAUCUUGUCUCUGGGUCAGAUCGGCUAUAACCUAGAUCUCGUCAUUUCAAUAUAAUCCAUCACAGAUCUGGUAUUUCUUUCUUCUCCAGAUUCUCCGCUCUAUCUAAGCUAGAUUUGAUAUAGAGAGCUUCUUUUUGGAGAGUGAGAAACAGAGACAAGAGAUGGGUUCUGGUUCGAAAUUGGAAGGCACAUAAGCGCGCCGAUACGGCAAGACCCGUAAGAAGUCUUGAGUGUUUCUUGGGAUUCAAAGUCAUUCAACUGAUAAGGAAAUUAAAAAGGCGUAUCGGAAACUCCGUCUCAAGUAAGUUCAAUUUCCGAUUCGAAAUCCACCCAUUUCAUUGUUUUAGAUUAUCUUGUUUGCUUUUGUGUAAUUUCUUGUUGGGUUAUGCUGCUAGUUAGUAUAUGAGGAUAGUAUUGCAGCAAUAGAGAUUGAUUCUGUGAAUUUCAGGCGCCGCCAUUGUUUCUCCUCUCUCGAACUCGUACUACUCGCUUCCUUCUCUCUUAUAUAUGUAUCUAUUGUCUGCAUAUAUGCAAUUUGCAAUGCUUGAUUUGAUUUUUAGGAAGGAAAAAAUAUUUUCAGGAAGUGGGUUUUGCGAUUCAUGUGGUUUUUCUUGUUUUGGUUAAGCAUAUUGGGAUUAAUGAUUGUAGUUCUGUGGAUUUGAGCAAGUGCUUUUGAGUUUUGGCUUUUGAUUGUGGGAUUUGUUGGAAUAGAGAUUGAUUCUGUGUUAAUUUUUGCAAAGGGAUUCUGGGUUUUGUUAGUUUGAGUGAGAUAUUUUGUGUUUGACUACCUGAGGAUCUUUGUCAGUUCUUUCGUUUCCAGUAUAAUAACUAUAUGAUUGUUCAGCAACCGCCAUAACCUUCCCUUGUGAAAAUGAGCAAACAGAAGUCAAAAUUAUGAAUGGGGGAAGAAAUAUGAAAGGAAAAGAAAAGGGAAAAGAGGCAUAUUGAUCGGUUUCUAUAACCAUAAUUAUAAUGCAGCAAUACUUCUUGCCAGGAAAUAUGCUCUUGAUUGCAAUGUGAGUGUUUUCUGCCACUUAAUAUCAACUUUCCCUUGCCCUAGUGAAGUUGAAUCCCUUAAUACGAAGUUUGAUGUAGAAAUAUUCAAAUGACAGUUCAUGAUUGCUGGACCAGAUGACAGAGUAUAGAGCCGGCUGAGUUUUGCAAAUGUGUGUACAAUCAAGUCUUACAACUUGAGUGUGUAUUUGUGUACGUGUAUGUGUGACUGCAUGUGUGUAUUUGUUUGUCAUGAAUCAUGAUGAGAGUAAAAUGUAUGUUAUAGUAAUUAAUUGGGUGCCUACUAAUCUGGGUUGCAUCAUUUAGGCAGUGUUUUUGUUUGCCUAAUUAGCAUCGGAUUGUAACAAGUCUCUUUCUCUAUUCUUUGUUUUGUUGAUAAGAGGUUGUAACGAGUUUUCAAUUCAUUAUUAAUUGGUUCUUUGUGGCUGAAAAAAUAGUAGCAAGUAUUUAAAAAAAAAAAAUCCCAGCCUUUAAUAGACUGAAGCUUAAAGACCAUUAAAAAAAAAAAAUUGAAAAUGGGUAAAUGGGUGGGUAUGGGUUUACCCGUUUAAAAAUGGGUUGGGUAAAUACCCGUACCCGCGAAUGCUAUUUGAAACACUGCAGGACACUAAAUCAGUAAUGCUUUACAAUAUGUUCAGAUUACAAUAGUUAAGUUUCUUCAUAUGGAAAAUCAAUUGAAGAAGGCAAGAGUUUUGGUGAUGCUUUUGAAAUGCAAGUACAUUGACCCUCUUUCAUUUCGUUGAUGUCUUGUGGGGGAUCAAGAAGUUUCUGAAUGCAGGAUCAGAAGCCCUCUAAAGGAAGAAUACCAAAAUCGUUGAUGAUUUCUUGUAUAAGUUAAUCCACACAAAAAUUGAGCAAAUGAAGAAAAAGGAUUAACUCUUCUGAGACUCUGAGCUCGUGACAAUACUAGUUACAAGUUUCAGAUUUUGCAGGUUCAAAUCUAUGUUGAUCCAUUUUGGAUAUGAAAAAGAUUUCUCAAAAUUGGUUCUGAAGCCACCCUUAUCAAUUUUGCAUUACUUUGCUGUCAUUCUUACUGUGUGUCUGUGUUUAUGAGAGUGAGAACGAGAUCAUUUCCUCUGAUACUUGGUAUCAAAUCAUCAUCUCAUAAUAUGAAUAUUAUUUUGAAUGGAGCCAUGUGGUCCAUCAGAUAUUUGUGGCAACAUGUAUUGGGGAUUGUCUUGCAUGAUGUUUCUCUUCUCUCUACCUUCUAAUCCUAUGUCUGCUACAUGUUUCAUAGAAUGACAAGGAGGACAUACUGUCACGGUUUCUAUUGGAGAGUGAGAAGAAUCCGGAGGAGAUGAAUGAUAAAUAUCUAAGCGAAAUAAUUAUGAACUUCAUGAUUUCUGGGAAAGAUACCAAUGCAAAUUCACUCUUAUGGUUCUUCUACAUGCUCAGCAAGAACCCUCUAACAUAAUUUAUUAUUGUUCGAACAAGCUUCUAGUGCUUGCCUUCUUUCGUGCCCCUUUCAGAUUUGAUUGUGCUUUGGAAUAUUGGGACAUUUGGUUUAAAUUUCAGUUGGCAUUCUUCUGUCAUCUCUCUGACCUUGUUUUUGUGUCAAUGAUGCAAGAGUCCAUUCCUUCAACUUUCUUGGUUUGGAUAUCAAGUGAACUGGCCCAUCAGCUUUGUUUUGACUCCUGGUGCAUUGAAAAUAUAUGCCGAGAUAUUCAGUUUUUUGAUACUAGUGAAACUGGCUUUGUUUUCAUUGACUGAUGUGUGGCGCCAAUUGAAGGGUUGAUGAAAUAAAAAUCACUAAUGCUUUACAAUAUGCAGCUAGUAUUGAGUACGUUAUAAGGUGGAGUACCAAUAUUAGUCUUUGGUCAAACUGGGGUUGCAUAAGCUGAUUCUCCAAAUGAGGCCCUUCCUCUUAAUUGCAGACCUAAUACUGGUGCUGCGCAGCUGACCAAAGAUAAAUUCAAGACUCUGAUAAAUAUAAAGAUGUGCACACAUGAAGAGGUGAGGUAUGAAAUGAUAAUCCACCAAGCAAAGCUGUAGUUUCUAGUGUAGUUCUCUACUCUCUGAGAUCGUAGUCCCACUUUCACUUUCUCCUAUCCCUAUUCUACUUUCACAAGGCUUUCUCUAUCACCAUUGUCAUGCUCUUCAAAUAGUUCCUUGACUUUCGCAAAGACAUCUCUGCAAAUUCUUUGAGUUUUGAAAUCUCUCACGACCUGAAGAAACCUUUCAUAUAUGUCUCUUUGGUCAGAAAACUAAAGGUUUCAUCUCAGCAGAGAAAUUGAAGCUUCAGAUGUGUUCACUUGAGGUUGUCAUUAGCUGGGAUGAGCGAGAGUAAGAUAGGAGAAAGAAGUUGUGCAUUUUUUGUAUUUUGAACAAUGACAAAGAUGUAUGAAUCAUUUUUUGUACCAGUUUCAUCUCAGCAGAGAAAUUGAAGCUUCAGAUGUGUUCACUUGAGGUUGUCAUUAGCUGGGAUGAGCGAGAGUAAGAUAGGAGAAAGAAGUUGUGCAUUUUUUGUAUUUUGAACAAUGACAAAGAUGUAUGAAUCAUUGAAUAACAAUAUUGUGAAAGAGUAUACAAGCUUCUCAUUUGUAUUUUUGCACAGAAUGUGAUUUGUAUGGGUU